AUGCAAGUCGAACGGUCUCUUCGGAGAUAGUGGCGGACGGGUGAGUAACGCGUGAGAACAUGCCUUUAGAUUGGGGACAACAGUUGGAAACGACUGCUAAUACCGAAUGUGCCUUAGGGUGAAAGAUUUAUUGUCUAGAGAUUGGCUCGCGUCAGAUUAGCUAGUUGGAGUGGUAACGGCACACCAAGGCGACGAUCUGUACUUGGUCUGAGAGGAUGACCAGGCACACUGGAACUGAGACACGGUCCAGACUCCUACGGGAGGCAGCAGUGGGGAAUUUUCCGCAAUGGGCGAAAGCCUGACGGAGCAAUACCGCGUGAGGGAGGACGGCUUUUGGGUUGUAAACCUCUUUUAUCAGGGAAGAAUCGAUGACGGUACCUGAUGAAUCAGCAUCGGCUAACUCCGUGCCAGCAGCCGCGGUAAUACGGAGGAUGCAAGCGUUAUCCGGAAUUAUUGGGCGUAAAGCGUCCGUAGGUGGUUUAUCAAGUCUGCUGUCAAAGCGUGCGGCUUAACCGCAUAAGGGCAGUGGAAACUGAUGAACUAGAGUGCGAUAGGGGUAACAGGAAUUCCCAGUGUAGCGGUGAAAUGCGUAGAUAUUGGGAAGAACACCAGCGGCGAAAGCGUGUUACUGGGUCUGCACUGACACUGAGGGACGAAAGCUAGGGGAGCGAAAGGGAUUAGAUACCCCUGUAGUCCUAGCCGUAAACGAUGACAACUAGGCGUGGUUCGUAUCGACCCGAGCCGUGCCGUAGCCAACGCGUUAAGUUGUCCGCCUGGGGAGUACGCACGCAAGUGUGAAACUCAAAGGAAUUGACGGGGGCCCGCACAAGCGGUGGAGUAUGUGGUUUAAUUCGAUGCAACGCGAAGAACCUUACCAAGGCUUGACAUCCUCGGAACCCUGAUGAAAGUUAGGGGUGCCUUCGGGAGCCGAGAGACAGGUGGUGCAUGGCUGUCGUCAGCUCGUGUCGUGAGAUGUUGGGUUAAGUCCCGCAACGAGCGCAACCCACGUUUUUAGUUGCCAGCAUUCAGUUGGGCACUCUAGAGAGACUGCCGGUGACAAACCGGAGGAAGGUGUGGAUGACGUCAAGUCAGCAUGCCCCAUACGCCUUGGGCUACACACGUACUACAAUGCGUCGGACAAAGAGCAGCCAGCCAGCGAUGGUGAGCCAAUCUCAUAAACCGGCGCUCAGUUCAGAUUGCAGGCUGCAACUCGCCUGCAUGAAGGCGGAAUCGCUAGUAAUCGCAGGUCAGCAUACUGCGGUGAAUACGUUCCCGGGCCUUGUACACACCGCCCGUCACACCAUGGGAGUUGGUCACGCCCGAAGUCGUUACUCUAACUGCUGCAGAGGA
rnacentral:rRNA from 1 species